rnacentral:rRNA from 1 species
CCCUUAGAUGUUCUGGGCCGCACGCGUGCUACACUGAGUGGAUCAGCGGGUCAGGUUGCGCGAAAGUGUUUCCUAAUCUUUAAAUCCGCUCGUGAUGGGGAUUGACGGUUGCAAUUUUCCGUCAUGAACGAGGAAUACCUUGUAAGCGCGGGUCAUCAUCCCGCGCUGAAUACGUCCCUGCCCUUUGUACACACCGCCCGUCGCACCUACCGAUUGAAUGUUUCGGUGAAGAUUCCGGACCGAGCGAUGAUCGCUUUACGGCGGUCGCCAUUUGGGAAGUUAUCUAAACCUCAACAUUUAGAGGAAGGUGAAGUCGUAACA